rnacentral:rRNA from 1 species
AGCAGCCGCGGUAAUUCCAGCUCCAAUAGCGUAUAUUAAAGUUGUUGCAGUUAAAAAGCUCGUAGUUGAAUUUCGGGAUCAAUACGUCGGUCGUGCUUUCGGGUACGUACUGGCGUCAUUGGUUUCUCCUUUCUGACGAACCAUGAUGUCAUUAAUUUGGUGUUAUGGGGAGUUAGGACUGUUACUUUGAAAAAUUAGAGUGUUUAAAGCAGGCAUUAGCUUGAAUACAUUAGCAUGGAAUAAUGAAAUAGGACGUUCGAUCCUAUUUUGUUGGUUUCUAGGAUCAACGUAAUGGUUAAUAGGGAUAGUUGGGGGCAUUAGUAUUCAAUUGUCAGAGGUGAAAUUCUUGGAUUUAUUGAAGACUAACUACUGCGAAAGCAUUUGCCAAGGAUGUUUUCAUUAAUCAAGAACGAAAGUUAGGGGAUCGAAGACGAUCAGAUACCGUCGUAGUCUUAACCAUAAACUAUGCCGACUAGGGAUCGGAUGAUGUUAAUUUUUUAAUGUACUC